rnacentral:rRNA from 1 species
UACAGAGGGUGCGAGCGUUAAUCGGAAUUACUGGGCGUAAAGCGUGCGUAGACGGUAGCGUAAGUCAGAUGUGAAAGCCCCGGGCUCAACCUGGGAACUGCAUUUGAGACUGCUCUGCUCGGGUGCGGAAGAGGGAAGCGGAAUUUCCGGUGUAGCGGUGAAAUGCGUAGAUAUCGGAAGGAACACCAGUGGCGAAAGCGGCUUCCUGGUCCGACACUGACACUGAGAGACGAAAGCUAGGGGAGCGAAUGGG